CCUACGGGAGGCAGCAGUGGGGGAUAUUGCACAAUGGGGGGAACCCCGAUGCAGCGACGCCGCGUGGGUGAAGAAGUAUUUCGGUAUGUAAAGCCCUAUCGGCAGGGAAGAAAUUGGACGGUACCUGACUAAGAAGCCCCGGCUAACUACGUGCCAGCAGCCGCGGUAAUACGUAGGGGGCAAGCGUUAUCCGGAUUCACUGGGUGUAAAGGGCGUGUAGCCGGGCUGACAAGUCAGAUGUGAAAUCCGGGGGCUCAACCCCCGAACUGCCUUUGAAACUUUUUGUCUUGAGUAUCGGAGAGGCG
rnacentral:rRNA from 1 species